rfam:Drosophila ananassae strain TSC#14024-0371.13 Ctg01_18341, whole genome shotgun sequence.
UAAGAAUCCGUCCAAAACUAAAACUGCAGUGUUGAUUCUUACAACAUUGUGGUAUUCAAUUGGACCAAAACGAACCCCAUGAUUUACUAUUCCUCUUAAGGGCAUCAUCUUGAAAAUGCAACCUUAAUAAAGUCAAAAAGCAACAAUACCUCCUG